ensembl:lncRNA
UCUCAAUAGAUUUACUUACUGCUAUUGCCCAUAUUAAGUAUGUGUUUUAUUAAUUUACGUAUGGCUAUUAUUAACAAGCCAUUACUUAUAAGAAGUAUAGCAUAACAUUUCUUAUUCCACAGGGACUACUCAAGGUGUAGGAGAGACUCCAAGACAGGAGAGGGUGCUGCUGUUCCUAGCUUCAUGGGUCAGUGUGGCAACAUGACAGGUGGCCGUACUGAGGAGCAUCUUUUUUCACCCCUUAGAAACCGUGCUAUGUCAGAAAAUGACAUUCGUGUGGACACACAAAAUUUUCAUAAUCACACCAAUGUCACGCCAAGCAGAAUGCGUGCGUCCACUCUCGGUGACCUGGAUGAGAAUGGAGUAUGUGUCGGUGAAGUAAAAAAGAAAAAAGGGCCUCCGCCUCCUCGUCCACCGCCCCCGAAAUGGGAUCAGUUCCACAAGAGACGGGCAUCUCACCAUAACCUCUUCUCCUCCCCACCACUCUAUAACUCUCCCUCUUCCUCUCCAACUCGACCACAGCCCCCCAGUGUGUCUGAAAUGACACGUCAUCGCUCCUGUAGUCUUCCUCCAAGGGAGGUCUCAGAGAGCCAUCACUGCUGCGGUCAAGAGUACUCUGUGGCUCCCCCCAGCCCUGCUUUUACACGUCGGGCCUUUAAACCUGUAGCCCUGCCCCCAAGAGAGAGAGACAUGAGGAGAGAACUUCAUCAACCUUUGCCGCAGCCUGAACCACACACAAGAAUACCUGUCCACAAUGCUGCAGUGUCAGAUGAGCCUAGAGUCACACUGGUGAAGCCCAUCUUUUCUGAGCAUCGAGCUGAGUGGAACCGCUCCAGUCCUCACUACCAAGCACAAGGCACCACCAGGUCUCAUGAAGUCCCAGUGAACAGUUUGUCAACUGCACCCGUGUGUCCCGAAUCCUACUUCUCCAUGAACAACUACCACUUGCAGUCCUAUCAAGCAGGCUUCCCUGGAACAGUUUACAAAAACCAGCUUAUUUCCUCCCGCAGUCCUAACAGUAUUGAAGAUGGAAACCAGCCCCUGGAGACAGACAUAGAUGAGAUCAGUGAGAAUGAGCGGUUAGGAGAAAUUGACAGAAGGGAAGGAGAGGACAGGAUGGAGAUGCAGGGUUUUGCUCGACCAGUUAUAGUGCUGGAGACAGACAUUGACAACAUGCCUGAGGAAGGGGCUCCUUCAGCGAGAAACAUUAGAGGGCAGAGGGCCGCUUUGGUGGACUCCAUUCUAGAGGAUGAUUAUGGUUUAUCUAGGAAAGAGCUGAUUGGAGAGUUAUUUCCACACAGUGUAAAUAAAGAGAUGGGUGGAGAGAGCUGGAGAGGAGGCCACCCAAUUAGCGGAGGAACACUAGAGAGGCCCUCUAGACUGGGAACAUCCACAGUACAAGUUUCACGAUCAGCCUGUUAUGACAUGUCAGCUGACAACCCGCAACUUCUUGCCAGGUUUCGAGAGAUCUCAGAGAGGAAAGAGGUGGAGGAAGAACUCAAUUAUAAGGUGAAAGAUUCAGAAAUGUAUGGCUCAAUUAUUUCAUGCUUUGCAAUUUAUUCCUAUGAUGAAUUAAUGGUGACCAGCAGCCGUUACACCAGUCUUCAGUGUCACAUGAUCUUUCAGAAACCAUUCUAA